rnacentral:rRNA from 1 species
GAGGGGCCCGCACAAGCGGUGGAGCAUGUGGUUUAAUUCGACGCAACGCGAAGAACCUUACCAGGGCUUGACAUCCCUUGAAGCAGCUAGAGAUAGCUGUGUCCUUCGGGACAAGGAGACAGGUGGUGCAUGGUUGUCGUCAGCUCGUGUCGUGAGAUGUUGGGUUAAGUCCCGCAACGAGCGCAACCCCUGUGGUUAGUUGCCAGCAAGUAGCGUUGGGCACUCUAGCCAGACUGCCGGUGAUAAAUCGGAGGAAGGUGGGGACGACGUCAAAUCAUCGUGCCCUUUAUGUCCUGGGCUACACACGUACUACAAUGGCCGUUACAACGGGAAGCGAAGGAGCAAUCCGGAGCAAAUCCCUUAAAGGCGGUCCCAGUUCAGAUUGUGGGCUGAAACUCGCCCACAUGAAGUCGGAAUCGCUAGUAAUCGCGGAUCAGCACGCCGCGGUGAAUACGUUCCCGGGCCUU